rnacentral:misc_RNA from 1 species
GAAAUGCGAUAAGUAAUGUGAAUUGCAGAAUUCAGUGAAUCAUCGAAUCUUUGAACGCACCUUGCGCUCCUUGGUAUUCCUUGGAGCAUGCCUGUUUGAGUAUCAUGAAAUCUUCAAAGUUAAUCUUUUGUUAACUCAAUUGGUUUCUACUUUGGUAUUGGAGGUCUUUGCAGCUUCACACCUGCUCCUCUUUGUUCAUUAGCUGGAUCUCAGUGUUAUGCUUGGUUCCACUCGGCGUGAUAAGUUAUCUAUCGCUGAGGACACUGUAAAAGGUGGCCAAGGUAAAUGCAGAUGAACCGCUUCUAAUAGUCCAUUGACUUGGACAAUACUUUUAUGAUCUGAUCUCAAAUCAGGUAGGACUACCCGCUGAACUUAAGC